AUGGAGCAUACAAAAUGCUUGGCCUUCCUGACUCCUCUCGUUUAUAGUGCAUACAAGAUAAUUACCGAAGGUAGGAGCUACAUACCAGGCAACAGCGCAGGCAGGAAUACGGGCUUCUCCUCAGAAAUCAGAAGCAGCAAAUCGAAAGCACCUUCAAUGUUUCCUGUUCUUCUGUUGCUUCUGUUGCCAUAUGUACUCCAAGCAGCAUCACUGAGAGCAUUCAGCAAUAGGACUGAUGUGGAUUCCUUGCUGGCAUUCAAGGCAAGCCUAAGAAAUCAGCAUGGUGUCCUAGCUGCAUGGAACACAAUGACUGACUACUGCCAGUGGCCAGGCGUCGGUUGCAGCCUUAAGCACAAGCACAGGGUCAUAGUGCUUAACCUCUCUUCGGAGGGCCUUGGUGGCACAAUCACACCUUCCAUUGGGAACCUCUCCUUCUUGAGAAUUCUAGACCUCAGCAAGAACAAUUUGCAAGGUGAAAUACCUUCCGCAAUUGGUCAUCUGUCUCGCCUACGAAAACUUGUUUUAUCCAAUAACUCACUUCAUGGUGAUAUAAACGCUGGAUUAAAGAAUUGCACCAGACUUGAAAGAAUCAACUUUCGCUCAAACCGUUUGACUGGAGAAAUUCCUGCUUGGCUCGGAGACUUGUCAAGUCUCAAGGUCAUAGGCCUGGCUGCAAACAACUUCACUGGAAUCAUCCCAUCAUCACUUACCAAUCUCUCAGCAUUGCAAAUUAUCUUUUUCCACACAAACAAACUCGAGGGUCCCAUCCCUGAGGGCUUUGGCAGGCUCCAUAGCCUUUUCUGGAUAGACCUAGGAGAAAAUCACCUCUCAGGCACCAUCCCUACAGCCCUCUUCAACCUUUCUUCUCUAACAACGUUCAGCGUGGCAGCAAAUGAUUUGGGCGGUAAACUACCCUCAGACUUUGGGGAUCACCUCCCAAAUCUUGAGCACCUACUCCUCGGUGCUAACCACUUUACAGGAAACCUUCCAGCUUCUCUUGUCAAUUCAACUGAGAUAUCUAAACUAGAUGUCACCAUCAACAACUUCACCGGAAAAUUGCCUUCAGAGAUUGGAAUGCUCUGCCCAGACACCCUCAGCCUUGGAAGAAAUCAGUUCAUGGCGACUACUAUGCAGGACUGGGAGUUUAUGACGUUGUUGACAAACUGCACACGCCUCCGUAUAUUCAACCUACAAUUGAACAUGCUAGGUGGUGUGCUGCCUAGCUCAGUUGCCAACCUAUCAGCACAACUCCAAGUAUUAUAUAUUGGUUACAAUGGGAUUUCUGGAAAGGUACCAUUUGGCAUAGGCAAUCUUGUUGGGCUAAAUGAAUUGCAACUAUCUAAUAAUCGAUUUACUGGUGCCUUGCCUGAUACCAUGGGAAGGUUAAAUUCACUACAAUACCUAGGCUUGGAAAAUAACCUACUAACAGGGAUCAUGCCAUCCUCCCUUGGGAACUUGACACAAGUACUAGGUAUGUACACACAUAACAACACGUUUGAGGGGCCUCUUCCAGCAAGCCUCGGGAGCCUACAAGAGGUAACUGUAGCAACCUUUUCAAACAAUAAGUUCACAGGUCCAUUGCCUAAAGAGAUCUUCAACCUAUCGUCACUGUCGGAGGCCCUGGAUUUGUCGGGCAAUUACUUUGUUGGUCCUCUUCCACCUGAAGUAGGCAGCUUGACAAAUCUUGCAGUCCUACACUUAUCACAGAACAACUUGUCAGGGCCCCUACCUGAUGCACUCAGCAAUUGCCAAAGCUUGACAGAACUCGGGUUGGACGACAACUCCUUUGGUAGUAGCAUUCCCUCAUCUAUCAGCAAAAUGCGAGGUCUGAUGAUGCUAAAUCUUACAAAGAACACACUUUCAGGUGUGAUUCCUCAAGAUUUAGGUCUAAUGGGUGGCCUUGAAGUGUUAUACCUAGCACACAACAACUUGUCUGGUCAUAUCCCAGAAAGUUUGGAAAACAUGGUAUCAUUGUACCAGUUAGACCUGUCCUUCAACCAUCUGGAUGGCAAAGUUCCAUCACGGGGAGUGUUCAGUAAUGCAUCUGAGUUUUUGUUUGGUGGGAAUUUGGGGCUUUGUGGUGGUAUAUCAGAGUUACAUUUGCCCCCAUGCCAACCAGAAUCCGCGGGACAUGGCUUGAGCAAACGUCAUUUGACUAUCAUUCUAGUUACCUCAAUUCCUGGCAUAAUUCUCGCUUUGAGUUUGAUACUUGUUUACUUCACAAUGAGAAAGAAAUCAAAAGCACGAUCUACAACCACAGAAGGAUUCCAGUUGAUGGAUGACAAUUAUCCCAGAGUAACUUAUGCUGAAUUGGUUCAAGGAACAAGUGGAUUCGCAGUAGACAAUUUGCUUGGCAGAGGAAGGUAUGGGUCGGUGUAUAAGUGUUGUUUGCUGCUAAAUAAUAUGAUGACCACAGUAGCUGUGAAGGUUUUUGAUCUUCAACAGUCCGGCUCUUCAAGAAGCUUUCUAGCUGAGUGUGAGGCACUUAGUAAGAUCCGCCAUCGUAAUUUGAUCAGUCUCAUAACAUGUUGCUCAAGCUCUGACUCGAACCAAAAUGAUUUCAAAGCCAUUGUUUUCGAGUUCAUGCCUAAUGGGAGCCUAGAUAGGUGGUUACACAUGGGUGUACAUGUAUCACAUCAACUCCAAGGCUUGACAUUGUUGCAGAGACUAAAUAUUGCAGUUGAUAUUGCUGAUGCACUAGAUUAUUUGCACAACAACUGUGAACCACCAAUAAUUCAUUGUGACUUGAAGCCAAGCAACAUUCUUCUCAAUGAGGAUUUAGUUGCUCAUGUUGGGGAUUUCGGCCUUGCAAAGAUUCUUCCUGAAUCAACAGUUGAGCAGCUGAUCAAUUCAAAGAGCUCAGUUGGAAUAAGGGGAACAGUUGGAUAUGUCGCUCCAGAAUAUGGCGAAGGUGGUCAAGUUUCUUCAUGUGGAGAUGUGUACAGCUUCGGAACUGUCAUCCUCGAGUUGUUUACAGGCAUGGCACCUACUCAUGACAUGUUUAAAGACGGGUUGACCCUGCAGAAACAUGCCCAGAAUGCAUUUACAGGGAUGCUAAUGCAGAUUGCUGAUCCAGUCCUACUGUCCACUGAAGAAGCCAAUGCUAAUAGUUUGCAGGAUGGAAGCAACACAAUGGAACAUGCCAUAUUCUCUGUCAUGAAGGUUGCGCUAUCAUGUAGCAAGCAUGCACCGACAGAGAGAAUGUGCAUCAGAGAUGCUGCUGCUGCGAUUCACAGGAUAAGAGAUGGCUAUGUUAAAGCAAGACAAAAUGAGAGGGUUGUUACAGCUGCAUUUACCGCAAGGCAUUUUGCCGAAACAUCCAGGGCAGCCCCUUGA
rnacentral:rRNA from 1 species